rnacentral:rRNA from 1 species
UGGGGGAUAUUGCACAAUGGGGGGAACCCUGAUGCAGCGACGCCGCGUGGGUGAAGAAGCGCCCUCGGCGCGUAAAGCCCUGUCAGCAGGGAAGAAAAUGACGGUACCUGAAGAAGAAGCCCCGGCUAACUACGUGCC